CCCUUAGAUGUUCUGGGCUGCACGCGCGCUACACUGAAGCGUUCAACGAGUAUUUCACCUUGCCCGGGAGGGUUGGGUAAUCUUUUUAAAACGCUUCGUGAUGGGGAUAGAUUAUUGCAAUUAUUAAUCUUCAACGAGGAAUUCCUAGUAAGCGCGAGUCAUCAGCUCGUGCUGAUUACGUCCCUGCCCUUUGUACACACCGCCCGUCGCUACUACCGAUUGGGAAAAUUUUAGAGAGUCCUGGACUGAUGAUUGUUCGGCUUCACGGCCUUACUUUCGUCGGGAAAGAAUUCGAUAAUAUUUUUCUAGAGGAAGUAAAAGUCGUAACA
rnacentral:rRNA from 1 species